rnacentral:rRNA from 1 species
UACGAAGGGGGCUAGCGUUGUUCGGAAUUACUGGGCGUAAAGCGUGCGCAGGCGGUGAUGUAAGACAGUUGUGAAAUCCCCGGGCUCAACCUGGGAACUGCAUCUGUGACUGCAUUGCUGGAGUGUGGCAGAGGGGGAUGGAAUUCCGCGUGUAGCAGUGAAAUGCGUAGAUAUGCGGAGGAACACCGAUGGCGAAGGCAAUCCCCUGGGCCUGCACUGACGCUCAUGCACGAAAGCGUGGGGAGCAAACAGG